rnacentral:SRP_RNA from 1 species
GCCAGGCGUGGUGGUGCAUGCCUGUAGUCCCAACUACUUGGGAGGCUGAGGCUGGAGGAUUGAUUGAGUCCAGGAGUUCUAGGCUGUAGUGCACUAUGCCAAGUGGGUGUCCGUACUAAGUUUGGCAUCAAUAUGAUAAUCUCCUGGGAGUGGGGGACCACCAGGUUGCCUAAGGAAGGGUGAACUGGCCCAGGUCAGAAAUGGAGCAGGUCGCAGGGCGCGGUGGCUCAAGCCUGUAAUCCCAGCACUUU